rnacentral:lncRNA from 1 species
CUAGAAUUUGCCAGUGGAAGCAAACACUUUGAGUUUGGCAGGAGGCUCUGAUCAGAUGCCUGAGUUACCACCUCUGGAUUUAUGUCACAAUGGUGCCCAUCGGCUUGGGAUCCUCAAGAUGGGAAGUCAACAUCCCAGUAAGCAGGUCUCAGGAGAACACGUACAGCCAACGGUGGGCCUGGAAGGGACUCAAAGAUGGCAAAACACUCAGACCCAAACUACAGCAGCCAGCAAGAAGCAUCUGCUUGGGAAGUAGAGGACAAGCCCAGUGGGCUGUGAUCAUGCUCAGUACCAUGCACAGCAGUUGAGCAGACUGGGUGAGCAGAAAGAAGAGCCUUGGUUGAAAAAUUCAAUCCUUCAGAUGAAAGCCACUCUGCUUCCUCCCCAUGAGCCCUCUGCUGUGGGGAGAGGAGAGGACCUCUCCAUGGCCUUCUCUGCAGCAGAGAGGAGCCCAAGAGGGCAGCUUUCCUGCAGGGAUUUGCAGCACUCCUAUCUCCUGCUGGCAGCCAGUAGUGCACUGGAGAACAAAGCUGAGCACCACACUUGGAC